AAAACACUGAUGAACGCUAGCGACAGGCCUAACACAUGCAAGUCGAGCGCCCCGCAAGGGGAGCGGCAGACGGGUGAGUAACGCGUGGGAACGUACCUUUUGCUACGGAAUAACUCAGGGAAACUUGUGCUAAUACCGUAUGUGCCCUUCGGGGGAAAGAUUUAUCGGCAAAGGAUCGGCCCGCGUUGGAUUAGCUAGUUGGUGAGGUAAAGGCUCACCAAGGCGACGAUCCAUAGCUGGUCUGAGAGGAUGAUCAGCCACACUGGGACUGAGACACGGCCCAG
rnacentral:rRNA from 1 species